GAGUAAUGUCUGGGAAACUGCCUGAUGGAGGGGGAUAACUACUGGAAACGGUAGCUAAUACCGCAUAACGUCGCAAGACCAAAGAGGGGGACCUUCGGGCCUCUUGCCAUCGGAUGUGCCCAGAUGGGAUUAGCUAGUAGGUGGGGUAACGGCUCACCUAGGCGACGAUCCCUAGCUGGUCUGAGAGGAUGACCAGCCACACUGGAACUGAGACACGGUCCAGACUCCUACGGGAGGCAGCAGUGGGGAAUAUUGCACAAUGGGCGCAAGCCUGAUGCAGCCAUGCCGCGUGUAUGAAGAAGGCCUUCGGGUUGUAAAGUACUUUCAGCGGGGAGGAAGGGAGUAAAGUUAAUACCUUUGCUCAUUGACGUUACCCGCAGAAGAAGCACCGGCUAACUCCGUGCCAGCAGCCGCGGUAAUACGGAGGGUGCAAGCGUUAAUCGGAAUUACUGGGCGUAAAGCGCACGCAGGCGGUUUGUUAAGUCAGAUGUGAAAUCCCCGGGCUCAACCUG
rnacentral:rRNA from 1 species